rnacentral:rRNA from 1 species
CUCGGAGUUUGAUCCUGGCUCAGGAUGAACGCUAGCGGCAGGCUUAACACAUGCAAGUCGAGGGGUAUAGUUCUUCGGAGCUAGAGACCGGCGCACGGUUGCGUAACGCGUAUGCAAUCUACCUUCACAGAGGGAUAGCCCAGAGAAAUUUGGAUUAAUACCUCAUAGUAUGCAGAGUUGGCAUCAACACUGCAUUAAAGUCACAACGGUGAAAGAUGAGCAUGCGU